rnacentral:rRNA from 1 species
GGCGUGCUUAACACAUGCAAGUCGAACGGUGAACACGGAGCUUGCUCUGUGGGAUCAGUGGCGAACGGGUGAGUAACACGCGAGCAACCUGCCCCUGACUCUGGGAUAAGCGCUGGAAACGGCGUCUAAUACUGGAUAUGUGACGCGACCGCAUGGUCUGUGUCUGGAAAGAAUUUCGGUUGGGGAUGGGCUCGCGGCCUAUCAGCUUGUUGGUGAGGUAAUGGCUCACCAAGGCGUCGACGGGUAGCCGGCCUGAAAGGGUGACCGGCCACACUGGGACUGAGACACGGCCCAGACUCCUACGGGAGGCAGCAGUGGGGAAUAUUGCACAAUGGGCGCAAGCCUGAUGCAGCAACGCCGCGUGAGGGACGACGGCCUUCGGGUUGUAAACCUCUUUUAGCAGGGAAGAAGCGAAAGUGACGGUACCUGCAGAAAAAGCGCCGGCUAACUACGUGCCAGCAGCCGCGGUAAUACGUAGGGCGCAAGCGUUAUCCGGAAUUAUUGGGCGUAAAGAGCUCGUAGGCGGUUUGUCGCGUCUGCUGUGAAAUCCCGAGGCUCAACCUCGGGCCUGCAGUGGGUACGGGCAGACUAGAGUGCGGUAGGGGAGAUUGGAAUUCCUGGUGUAGCGGUGGAAUGCGCAGAUAUCAGGAGGAACACCGAUGGCGAAGGCAGAUCUCUGGGCCGUAACUGACGCUGAGGAGCGAAAGGGUGGGGAGCAAACAGGCUUAGGUACCCUGGUAGUCCACCCCGUAAACGUUGGGAACUGGUUGUGGGGUCCAUUCCACGGAUUCCGUGACGCAGCUAACGCAUUAAGUUCCCCGCCUGGGGAGUACGGCCGCAAGGCUAAAACUCAAAGGAAUUGACGGGGACCCGCACAAGCGGCGGAGCAUGCGGAUUAAUUCGAUGCAACACGAAGAACCUUACCAAGGCUUGACAUAUACGAGAACGGGCCAGAAAUGGUCAACUCUUUGGACACUCGUAAACAGGUGGUGCAUGGUUGUCGUCAGCUCGUGUCGUGAGAUGUUGGGUUAAGUCCCGCAACGAGCGCAACCCUCGUUCUAUGUUGCCAGCACGUAAUGGUGGGAACUCAUGGGAUACUGCCGGGGUCAACUCGGAGGAAGGUGGGGAUGACGUCAAAUCAUCAUGCCCCUUAUGUCUUGGGCUUCACGCAUGCUACAAUGGCCGGUACAAAGGGCUGCAAUACCGCGAGGUGGAGCGAAUCCCAAAAAGCCGGUCCCAGUUCGGAUUGAGGUCUGCAACUCGACCUCAUGAAGUCGGAGUCGCUAGUAAUCGCAGAUCAGCAACGCUGCGGUGAAUACGUU